rnacentral:lncRNA from 1 species
AAAAAAAAAGAAAACAAAAAAAAACAAAGGCUCUCUGCUAGGGUUUUUAACCCCAGCCCCCUGAUGCCACCGUUCACUCUUGCCGAUGCUCCGAUUACGACGGAGACAGCACUAAUCUGGCGAUUCCGACAUGAGAAGUAAGCCCUUUCCUCCUUUCUUUAUAUUUUAAGCAAAAAUAAAUAAAGAAAUAAAGAAACUACAAAAAAUAUAUAUUUAUGUAUAAAUGAAAAAUAAAAGAACGAUGAUCCUCAAGGUAAUAUAGAGAGAAAAGACCUUUGUAUUCAAAAAGAAAAUUUUCUAUUUGCCUUUGUAUUUCUCUCGGUCCUUCCAUCUAUUUUUUGUCUUCCCCCUUUUUUCCGAUUUCUGAUGGCUUUUCUAACCAAAUAACAGGAAAAUAACAAAAAAAAAUCUACUUUCCUAUUAUGUUUUCAUUAUUUUCUGUAAUUGUUGUUGAUAUUCCGUUUUUUGCUACUUGUUUCUUUUUUUGUGUUGUUUGCAAGUCAAUCAGUGGAGACUCCGACGGCGGCGACACAGGUGUGCGUGAGGAGCAUGAGGCGGUCAUGCGGCUGAAGCUUGUUGCUACCUAGGCUAGGGUUUUUUUGAAUAUGGGUUUGGGUCUCUGUGAUUGGGCUAUUUGGGUUGUAAAUAGGGCCUGGGGCAAAAUUGAGUAUUACACCCAGUGUCUCAUCGACUCGAGGUCGAAGUAUCCCUGAACUCUUUCAAUCCUAUGGCAUGGCAACUACAUCCGACUCAGCCCGACUAGUUAAUAGGGUAUUCAAAUCAUUUUUCUAUUUCAAAUUCACUUUUGAUUCAAUCACAAUUCAAUUCAAUUUCACUUUUCACUUUUCAAUCAAU